rnacentral:rRNA from 1 species
GCGGCAGGCCAACACAUGCAAGUCGAGCGCGAAAGUUCUUCGGAACGAGUAGAGCGGCGGACGGGUGAGUAACGCGUGGGAAAUUGCCCAGUAGUGGGGGACAACNNNNNNNNNNGGAUGCUAAUACCGCAUACGCCCUACGGGGGAAAGCAGGGGAUCUUUGGACCUUGUGCUAUUGGAUAUGCCCGCGUCGGAUUAGCUAGUUGGUGAGGUAAUGGCUCACCAAGGCAACGAUCCGUAGCUGGUCUGAGAGGAUGAUCAGCCACACUGGGACUGAGACACGGCCCAGACUCCUACAGUGGAGGCAGCAGUGGGGAAUAUUGGACAAUGGGCGCAAGCCUGAUCCAGCCAUGCCGCGUGUGUGAAGAAGGCUCUAGGGUUGUAAAGCACUUUCAGUAGGGAGGAAGGCCUUAAAGUUAAUACCUUUGAGGAUUGACGUUACCUACAGAAGAAGCACCGGGCUAACUACGCGCCAGCAGCCGCGGUAAUACGGAGGGUGCGAGCGUUAAUCGGAAUACUGGGCGUAAAGCGCGCANUAGGCGGUUAGUUAAGCUGGAUGUGAAAGCCCCGGGCUAACCUGGGAAGUGNAUUAGAACUGGCUGGCUAGAGUCCAAGAGAGGGUAGUGGAUUUCUGUGUACGGUUAA